CUCAAAUCCUCCAGACACACAGAGUUACAGACAGAGAACAACUGGCGCCAUGCUGUGCAUUCCCACCCAUCUUCAGCACGUUAGGGAAGUGAGAUGGUGUGCCAUAUGGAUUCUCAAGCAGUCCAGUGGAGAGGACUCUGGGGACCGAAACCAAAACUUCCUGCCAAGGCACACAGCUUUGAAGGAGGUCUCGGGGGAUCGACCAUUCCAACCCUAUGGGUUUUUUUUAACCAAUACCCCAGAACACAGUUAUGAAGUCUAUGUUGCAGAUGGG